rnacentral:rRNA from 1 species
CCUACGGGAGGCAGCAGUGGGGAAUAUUGCACAAUGGGGGAAACCCUGAUGCAGCGACGCCGCGUGAGUGAAGAAGUAUUUCGGUAUGUAAAGCUCUAUCAGCAGGGAAGAAAUAGCGACCUUUGGGUCGCCAGACGGUACCUGACUAAGAAGCCCCGGCUAACUACGUGCCAGCAGCCGCGGUAAUACGUAGGGGGCAAGCGUUAUCCGGAUUUACUGGGUGUAAAGGGAGCGUAGACGGCAGCACAAGUCUGAAGUGAAAUGCCGGGGCUUAACCCCGGAACUGCUUUGGAAACUGUGCAGCUAGAGUGCAGGAGAGGUAAGUGGAAUUCCUAGUGUAGCGGUGAAAUGCGUAGAUAUAUGGAAGAACACCAGUGGCGAAGGCGGCUGUCUGGUCUGCAACUGACGCUGAGGCUCGAAAGCAUGGGUAGCGAACAGGAUUAGAUACCCCUGUAGUC